GAGCCAGACAAGUCCCACAGACUGAAAAUGAAGAGAGAAAGCUGUGUAUAUGUGGGUUUGAUAUUGGUCCUUCUCCUGGCCCCCCACAGUCCACCUGACCACAUCUGGAAACAAUACCUGGAUUCUUCAGAGUAAACCACUGAGCAGAUGUUUUCCACUGGACUUGAGGCCAGCUCUACAAUGAACUUACACAAUGAG